UGCAUGGAGAAUCAAAGCUUCGAAAAGCCUACAAUCAUUAUUUCCCUCUCAUUUCACGUUUUGAAACCAACAAUAAUAAAUAAAUAGUCAGUUGAAUUUUCCAAGCACGGCUGGGACUCUGGGACCAUGCUCUUUUGACUGACUUCUCCUUUCGAACUUUCCUGGAAUAUUUAACGAGUCUUGUUUACUCGGAAGCCUGUUUGUUUGGUGGGUUUUGACUUUGACUUGAGUUGAUGCAUCAAGUGUUGAUAUGGAAGAGUGAGAUUCUUGAAGAGCUGGAGACCAGAGGCAGUCAUGGAGGCAAUCUUUCUCUGCUUAAUUUCUCUGGUUUUGAGGGUUUCCGGUAUUUCUGAAGGUGAUGCCUUGUAUGCACUAAAGUCAAGUUUAGUCGACCCUAAAGAUGUUUUACAAAGUUGGGAUACUAGCAGUGGUAAUCCUUGCAUAUGGUUUCACGUUACGUGCAAUGGUGAUGGUAAUGUUAUAAGAGUUGAUCUUGGAAAUGGAAGUUUAUCUGGUCAAUUGGAUUCAAGAGUUGGUCAGCUUACAAAAUUAGAAUAUUUGGGACUUUAUAAUAAUAACAUAAGUGGAAAAAUACCGGAGGAGCUUGGGAAUUUGGAAAACUUGAUGAGCUUGGAUCUUUACUUCAACAAUUUAAGCGGUCCAAUUCCGGGCACAUUGGGCAAGCUUCGAAAACUACAUUUCUUGCGGCUUAACAACAACAUCUUGAUGGGAACUAUUCCUAUGUCUUUAACUGCUGUAUCAUCACUGGAAAUCCUGGAUCUAUCGAACAACAAACUAACAGGAGAUAUACCAGUCAAUGGCUCCUUUUCAUUAUUUACUCCCAUCAGUUUUGGUAAUAAUCGUCUAAGUAAUAAUUCUCCAAAAAGAACGCUCGAUUCUCCAUCUCCGAUUUCUCCAAAUCCAUUGACUCCACCGACUCCUUCAGGAAACAGUGCCAUUGGUGUCAUUGCUGGAUUUAUUGCUCUUGGUGUGUUCAUUGCCUCUGCAAUUGUUUUUGUUUGUUGGCGACUAAGGAGACCACGGGCGCACUUUUUUGAUGUACCUGCUGAGGAAGAUCCAUUAGUUCAUUUGGGACAGCUCAGAAGGUUUUCUCUUCAUCAACUAAAAUAUGCAACAAACAAUUUUAGCAAUAAAGACAUACUGGGUAGAGGUGGAUUUGGUAAAGUUUACAAAGGACGCUUGGCUGAUGGUUCUCUAGUGGCAAUAAAAAGAUUGAAAGAGGAGCGUACUCAUGGUGGGGAACUGCAGUUUCAGACAGAAUUAAGAAUGAUCAGCAUGGCAGUGCAUAGGAAUCUACUUCGUCUGCAAGGCUUUUGCAUGACAUCGACAGAAAGGUUGCUUGUCUAUCCUCUUAUGGUUAAUGGAAGUGUUGCAUCAUGUUUAAGAGAGCGGACAGAUGGACAAUCCCCUCUUGAUUGGCCAGCAAGGAAACAAAUUGCAUUGGGAUCUGCAAGGGGGCUUGCUUAUUUGCAUGAUUCUUGUGACCCUAAGGUAAUUCAUCGUGAUGUGAAGGCAGCAAACAUACUGUUGGAUGAAGAGUUUGAAGCAGUGGUUGCAGAUUUUGGGCCGGCUAAACUCAUGGACUACAAUGAUACUCAUGUUACCACAGCUGUACAUGGAACACUUGGGCAUAUUGCACCAGAGUACCUCUCCACUGGAAGGUCUUCAGAGAAGACUGAUGUUUAUGGAUAUGGGAUCAUGCUUCUUGAGCUCAUCACUGGGCAGAGGGCUUUUGAUCUUGCUCGGUUAGCCGGUAAUGAGGACGUUAUGUUACUCAGUUGGGUUAAGGAACUGUUGAACAACAAGAAGUUGGAAACACUGGUUGAUUCCAAGCUGCAGGGCAAUUACAUUGUGGAGGAGGUAGAGGAGCUAAUCCAGGUGGCUCUCCUUUGCACACUAGAUGCAGCUUCAGACCGACCCAAGAUGUCAGAUGUGGUUAAAAUGCUUGAAGGUGAUGGUUUAGCUGAAAGGUGGGAACAGUGGCAAAAGAAGGAUAUAAUUUGCGGAGAGCAAAAUCAUAGCAACUUCCCCUCUAAUAAUUGGAUUAUAAAUGACUCCACUCCAGGCCUUCGUCCUGAAGAAUUGUCCGGUCCCAGAUGAUGCUUUUGCUAUUCCACAUGCAUAUGUAAGGGUAGCUGAUAGAUGAUGCACUCUGGGACUGAGAUCACCGAAGGGAAACAGUAAGCAUCUGACCAAACUGGCAAAUGGGCGAGUCAAAUCGGUAACCAUAGAGCAAUGUUCAGUUUUCUUUGUUGCUACAUCAACCGAUUGAGACCAGGAGGAUCCCAUAAUUCAAAUUUGAGGAACGUGAAUUGAUCAGUGAAGUCUAAGUGAGGAUUGUAGAUCUUAAUUCUGCCAAACCCAUAUCAUAAUCAUACUGCAUUCGUAGAGUGGAAUCAGACUGUCUUGUAAGCUGCAUUCCGCUGUAUAAACAUCAUUGUUGAUUCUUCCUUCAUGGAAGGAUCACAAACAUCAGGGUGAUAUUGCAGGCUCAUCUGUCUAUAAGCUCUCUUUAUAUCAUCAAUACCGGCAUUUUCUGGACACCAACCAAGUAGCUUAUAGUAGUUGGGAGACUCAUUUUGACAGGCCAACUUGGGUGCUCUUCUUGCUACUCUGCAUGAGACCAAAACGAACCUGGAAGGCCACUGACAAUUAUGAGCUAGUAGAUGAAAAUAGCAGUGAUGAGGCUUGAUCUUAGAGAAAUGUCCAUGGGAGUCUGGCUGAUCAGCUUGUGUUGAACGUGGAUGAAGAAGAGGGGUUUGAGCAGUGCAUAUAGAGAUGGAGGACAAUGAGGAGAGGGAGGAAAGCAUAAGGAAUGUAUGUGAAGUAGGCAACAAAGCCAAGGCUGCUACUUCUGAAUUCAAGGCUGUGCUUCGGAGACAUCAUCAUAUGGACAUAGGAUGAAUAUCUUUGAAAGGGUGAAGUCGUGUCCGUGCAUGAUCUUAUAUUAAUAUGAGGAGAUUCAUGGACGGUUUAGUAUAUAAUUUGAAAGAGAAACCCUCUAGGUUCAUGGAUAGUCUUUUUUGUUCCAAGAUAAUUCUAUGGUACACAUUUCCUAUCUGUCGAAAACUUAUAAAAAUAUAAGUCUCUGUUUGG